CAAGAACCCCCUUCACACGUGCAGACAAAGAGACCUAACAACACAACCAAAAUAUUCACGUAUAAACUUUUUCGGAAACGCCGACGGUUUUCGUGGACAUGCGAAACAGAACAAAUAAGAAUAAGUAACGUAUAUAUUUUGCUUGUUUGCUCUUAAACUAAUUUAAUGGUUUUGUUUUCAGUGAAAAGUUGCUCAGAGUUGGUGCGUCAGCUCGCAAAGUUGAGCACAAAGAGGAGAGGAGCGUUCCUUUGUUCCGCGGAGGGCUUUGAAGGGAAAUCGUGGAUGAAGAAUUCCAGUUAUCCUGUUUGAAAAUUAAUGUUAAACAAGAUGCAACAGGAAGAAACUGGGGAAACUUGCAUCUGCCCGGUCCUGCAUAUAGCCUACCUCUCAGAAGCAGCAAGAUGCACCUUCGUAAGGACUGUGGGGACUGGCGUAGGCUACUUUUUCUUUGGAAAGUUGCGGUUUUGGGAUACAGAUGGACAUUGGAUUCUAUUUCUCAACAGUUGUGGAAUAAUUCAAAAUGCUGGAUUAUAUGUACUUUCAAAAACAAAGAACUUAAAACCUCUAUACAGUAAUGGAUGGAAAACGCCAUGGAGCCUGAAACACAACAAAGCAAGGUGCUCGUGGACACGAUUUGGAAGAGCCUGCAGUCCUUACCGUCGUCCAGCUGUGACCUGUCUUCCUCCGGUCACACGUUUGAGGAAGAAUACUGGAGGUCAGGGUGCAGUGCAAGACAACCGGACGAGCAGGAUGAAAUGCAAGGUCCUCCCUUUCCUGCUUUUGGAGCAGCUGACCUGUGAUGACAGCAAGGUCAAGGGUCAACACUGAUUGACUGCCCUCCAGGAAGCCUCUUUGACAUUGAGAUGGCUGCCAUCGGAGAGAAUCUCACGAGCCUCCCCGGCCUGUCCCUCGCUCUGCGACUCCUUUGGAGGUCCCCUGGGUGUCUUAUUCACCCAGCCAGCAUUCACAGGAGAAACCAGCGCAGACGACUCUCGCCUUCAACGUUCUUCCAGUCAUCAGCUCUGCACCCCUCUCCGAACCCUCUACUCUGCAGUCUCAAGCCACUUAGCGGUCCCGCCCCUUCAAGGAAGCGUGUGUCAGCCAUGGUUAUUCUUCACUCUGGCCCCUCCAGUGGUGGACUGAGUUGAACCCAGUCAGAAUGUAAGGACAGCUGGCUCUCUUCCAAUGCAGGAAACGCAUCUCUUCAAACUGCUCUUGGGUCCACCGGCCCAAACUCCCCUCUUCCUCCUAGUACAGUAUAGAUUUCACUGAACAGCCACGUUUAUGCUGUUUGCAAUCACUUUUUAAAUUUUUUUUACAAGUGUAUUAUAGUCCAUUUUUCUCUUAAACUGUGACAAUAUUUUUCAGUUAAGCUGGGUUAAUAUGCAUUGUUUGUAUAUAUUUGUUCAUCAAGCUGUAUUUCUCCCUUUUGGAUAACAGGAUCUGCUGAAUAACUGUGUAAAGCGUUUGAGUCAGGGAAUUGAGGACACCCGGCUCUGCCCAUGGCUUCAUUAAAGAAUGCAUGACAUAAUGCUGAAUACACUGUGGAAACUUGUCUGCAGUGGAAAACUCUGUAUUGAUUUUCUGUAGUGCAUUUUGUGAACCACAGCUGUCAGCAGAAUGAGGGCAUUGGCGGGCAUGGCUUGCUGUUAGUUAUAACAGUUACAGAGUAACAGAACUGGGAGUUUCAGAAGCAGAGAGCUACAGAACUGGAUGCAAUGUAUUGCUGUGGGAGAAAAGUUUGCAGUGCUUUCACAAUUGUGUGGAUGUAGGCAUUGGUGAGAUACAAUAAGCCGCAAAUACUGCUGACAUUCCUGAAUCUGAAACUGCAUUAACUUGCCGGGGACUGGCACGAGGUCAUCGGCAAUGGUCACCUUUUAUUUUCCUUUCUUUUAUACUGAGUAGAAUUCGGGAGUCAGAAAGUCCUUGUGACUGCAAUUCAACCCAAUCAUGUAGUUCAUUGACUGUGCAGUCUGCAGAUCUGGGAAAAUGUUUUGUCUGCUGGUGGGUUUUGCUUGGUGGUCCCUUCAAGAUUGCAGAUACCCUUGUUGAACAGCAAGCUACUGUAACUGAGUGUGACCAGAAUAACAAAACAUAUUUUGUGUGAUUGCCAAUAAAUGGCAAUUGUCAAUAAGCAAUUUGUGAUAAAGAUGGCCAUUGUGCACAUUAGUGAAAUGCUGUCACAAGGUUUUCUAGAGGCUACAACAGUAGUAUGUAUCCUAGCUAUGGUAUAGAUCAUGGGUGCAAAAUUUCUUAUCUGACGACAAACACACUGCCCUUGUGCCUGCAUUUCCACGGUGAUUCAUAGGUCAUCCCAACCACAAAUCAAAUCAUGGCCUAAUAAUCUGUUCGACCUUUUUUCUGUCACAUUCACAUUGGUUCCUACUGCCAACUACACCAGCUGUGCAUGAGUUUGUCCAUAAUCUUGCUAUUUAAAAAAAUAUUUAAGUAUAAAUGUACAAAUUACAAAGUCAUAAUUAUGUUUUACAAUAUUAAUUCCAAAUUACUGAAGAGUUACUGUAACCUUGCAGAUUGACAUCUGUUAGUUGUACAAUGUCAAGCUUUUUGACCCAUUUUUUUU